AGUGAACGCUGGCGGUAGGCCUAACACAUGCAAGUCGAACGGCAGCACAGGAUAGCUUGCUCUCUGGGUGGCGAGUGGCGGACGGGUGAGGAAUACAUCGGAAUCUGCCCAGUCGUGGGGGAUAACGUAGGGAAACUUACGCUAAUACCGCAUACGACCUUCGGGUGAAAGAGGGGGAUCGCAAGACCUCUCGCGAUUGGAUGAGCCGAUGUCGGAUUAGCUAGUUGGCGGGGUAAUGGCCCACCAAGGCGACGAUCCGUAGCUGGUCUGAGAGGAUGAUCAGCCACACUGGAACUGAGACACGGUCCAGACUCCUACGGGAGGCAGCAGUGGGGAAUAUUGGACAAUGGGCGCAAGCCUGAUCCAGCCAUACCGCGUGGGUGAAGAAGGCCUUCGGGUUGUAAAGCCCUUUUGUUGGGAAAGAAAUCUUUCAGGCUAAUACCCUGGGAGGAUGACGGUACCCAAAGAAUAAGCACCGGCUAACUUCGUG
rnacentral:rRNA from 1 species